CAAUGCCUGUCUUUGGUGGCCUACACCAUCCGUUGUCAAUCUGUUAACCAAUUAUUUUGUUGAAAGCAACUAAUGGUCCGGUUAUUUCUUUAUACGAAUAGUAUGGUAAGAAUGCCAAACCUUCCCAAAUCAGUACUGUAUGUCUAAGUGCAAAAUGAAACCAAAUAUUUUCAUUAAGAAAAGUGGGUUUUUUUAAUCACCAUAUAAUAUAGUGCAUCGUACAGUACUUACCAUAGGCACUGGGGGAUUCUUCACAGUAUGCCAGUAGGCCUGGCAAUUUGCUGUACUGGAGUUUGCUCAAACCUGUGCCAGAUUUGGUCAUAAUCACUUGAAUGAAUCGAACUUGUAGAAUUGAGAUUCAUGCAGAAAGGUUGGGAGAUGUCAACAUAGUAUAUAAAGGAAUGACAGGCAUCACCAGCUUAUAUCCAGUGAUUUAUCUUGAAUUAGUUGCUGUCAGAUAAAUGCAGGCACUGAUGCUGUUUUUGGAAUUAAGUUGCUAGUUCAAAGGGUCAAAAGUGUUUGUCUUCUUGAUGCCGGAAACUACCCAUGUAUAAAUGAAGAUUUGGCCCAGGUGUCUAUAAACAGGCAUCUACUGUCCACAAAACCUAGGCCAGGCAAAAAAUUCCCUUUGCUGAGAUGACUAAGAAUGAUUGCUUUUUGUCAAUUCCCAGUAAGGUUACCACUGCAGCACAUUCUUUCAGCAUCACUUGGUGAUUGAAUUAUAACAUUAACUACUGAGGUAAAUCGUGUGCUGCUAAGACUACUACUAAUGGUGGAUGUAAGGGGGCCACCUGGUCAUGUGAUCCCCCCUUUGGAUAAUUAAAAUUUGAUCAUAUGUACUCACUGCAUACAAGUUAAAUUGAUAGAAACACUGAAAAUAAAAUUAUACGAUUAUUUUGUUCUUUAUGCACAUGUUAUUUAAAGCUUGUAUUUGCCGAAGCAAUUGCUCCUCCUACUUCUUUAUAAGUACAGCUGUUAGACACAAUGUGACAAUCUUCAUAAUUAUAAACUCUCUCUCUCUCUCUUUCUCAGUACAUACAAUAUUUAUGUGGAUAUGAUGAUACAUUAUGUAUAAAUAUUGAUAUAUAUGUACCAUAUGUGAAUAUGUUAUGUAUAAAAAAUCCGAAGUGCCCCCAUGAAUGAUUUCUAGAUCUGCCAUUGACUACUACAAAGAAUAACUCAACAUAUGAAGUCUGUAAUGAGAAGAUUGUAGAUUAAUGUUAAUAAAUCUUUAUUGCAAUUUUCUUGCCAACCCAAAUGUGACUGGACAUAGUUUGGCCUUCUCAUUUAUCCAAUAAACAAUACCUUACUAUUUUUUUUUAUCCUCUCAAGACUUUGAGACUUUUAUGCAAUGAGACACUUCUCAAAAUUAAGGCCCUAAUUUAUAGACAGAGAUAGCAAUAUGUUAUUGUUGAUUACGCUGGCUUUAUGCCAGCACGGGCUCUUGCUCAUAGCAGCCGACUAGAUAGCAAUCAUUAAGCAUUAUAUAUUUACAGUAUUUUGACAACUUUCGCUGAAACACUGGGUCUUAAGAAUUCCCAAGUCCUCAUGUAUUUAUACUGUUUGGGAGACAACAUACGAGUUACUUGAAUAUCAUAAUCAACACACACUUCCUGUUACUGGAAAACA